AAGAGAGGAGUAAAAAGUCUCCUGGCUGUCCCAAUUAGUGCAGGGAUGUAUGCCAAUAGCUUUUGUGCUGUCUCUGCCACAGGAAAAGGUGAAGCAACAGUACGAGCUACAGUUGCACGCGACGUGGCUGCUUUGACGUUUCUUUUUUUUUUUUUUUGGUUAGAUCUAGAUCUAGUGUUACUAGGAAGAGAAGAGGAAGCAGAACUAGGGGGAGGGGGGGCGCUAUCUGACGGACACUUAGGGAUAGAGCUGAAUGCAUAAUAUGGGACUCUAGAGUCUGGUCUAGUGACUUUGUUUAUGCCUUUUGGGGUUCCUCUUCCAGCAAGAGAAGGAAAAAUCUGGACCAUCGAGAACUAGUACCCAAAGAAUAGAAACACAUUCUAAGUGGGCAAAUGGUGCUCUACUUGUGAGUGCAGUUGAUGUGGACAAGUUGCUAGAUUGUAAUCUGAUUUUACUAAUAUAUCACUAAAAUUGCAAUUUGA